CAAAAACAUGUCCUUUAGUUUUUAUUUAAGGUUUAACCUGCCCAAUGAUUUAUUGAAUGGCCGCGGUAUAUUAACUGUGCUAAGGUAGCAUAAUCAAUUGUCUUUUAAUUGAGGGCUAGAAUGAAUGGUUGGACGAAAUAAUUGCUUUCUUUAUUUUAAUUUAUGAAUUUAAUUUUUCAGUCAAAAAGCUGAAAUAUUUUUGUAGGACGAGAAGACCCUGUAGAUCUUAAUAAAACUUGCUUUAAUUUUUUUUGGUUAAUAUUUUAUUAUUAUAGUUUGUAUUAUUUUGUUGGGGUGACAGUAGAAUUUAUAUAACUUCUAUUUUAUAUAUUUCAUUUAUAUAUGAUUAUUUGAUCCUUUUUUAAAGAUWAAAAGACUAAGUUACCUC
rnacentral:rRNA from 1 species